rnacentral:misc_RNA from 1 species
AACAUCGCGCACCUGCGGGAACCUGCGGAAGGAUCAUUACCGAGUUUACAACUCCCAAACCCCUGUGAACAUACCUAUACGUUGCCUCGGCGGAUCAGCCCGCGCCCCGUAAAAAGGGACGGCCCGCCCGAGGACCCCUAAACUCUGUUUUUAGUGGAACUUCUGAGUAAAACAAACAAAUAAAUCAAAACUUUCAACAACGGAUCU